rnacentral:rRNA from 1 species
AGUGAACGCUGGCGGUAGGCCUAACACAUGCAAGUCGAACGGCAGCACAGUAAGAGCUUGCUCUUACGGGUGGCGAGUGGCGGACGGGUGAGGAAUACAUCGGAAUCUACUUUUUCGUGGGGGAUAACGUAGGGAAACUUACGCUAAUACAGCAUACGACCUACGGGUGAAAGCAGGGGAUCUUCGGACCUUGCGCGAUUGAAUGAGCCGAUGUCGGAUUAGCUAGUUGGCGGGGUAAAGGCCCACCAAGGCGACGAUCCGUAGCUGGUCUGAGAGGAUGAUCAGCCACACUGGAACUGAGACACGGUCCAGACUCCUACGGGAGGCAGCAGUGGGGAAUAUUGGACAAUGGGCGCAAGCCUGAUCCAGCCAUACCGCGUGGGUGAAGAAGGCCUUCGGGUUGUAAAGCCCUUUUGUUAGGAAAGAAAAGCAGCAGAUUAAUACCCCGCUGUUCUGACGGUACCCAAAGAAUAAGCACCGGCUAACUUCGUG